CCUACGGGAGGCAGCAGUGAGGAAUAUUGGUCAAUGGACGGAAGUCUGAACCAGCCAUGCAGCGUGAAGGAUGACUGCUCUAUGAGUUGUAAACUUCUUUUGUAAAAGGGUAAAACUGGACACGUGUGUCUUUUUGCAUGUACUUUAUGAAUAAGGAUCGGCUAACUCCGUGCCAGCAGCCGCGGUAAUACGGAGGAUCCGAGCGUUAUCCGGAUUUAUUGGGUUUAAAGGGAGCGUAGACGGGUUGUUAAGUCAGUGGUGAAAGUUUGGAGCUUAACCGGAGAACUGCCAUUAAUACUGGUGGUCUAGAGAGUAGUUGAGGUAGGCGGAAUGCAUGGUGUAGCGGUGAAAUGCUUAGAGAUCAUACAGAACCCCGAUUGCGAAGGCAGCUUACUAAUCUGUAACUGACGUUGAGGCACGAAAGCGUGGGGAGCAAACAGGAUUAGAUACCCGAGUAGUC
rnacentral:rRNA from 1 species